rnacentral:rRNA from 1 species
GACGAACGCUGGCGGCGUGCUUAACACAUGCAAGUCGAGCGGUAAGGCCCUUUCGGGGGUACACGAGCGGCGAACGGGUGAGUAACACGUGGGUGACCUGCCCUUAGCUCUGGGAUAAGCCUGGGAAACUGGGUCUAAUACCGGAUAUGACUCCAUAACGCAUGUUGUGGGGUGGAAAGCCUUGUGCGGCUAGGGAUGGGCCCGCGGCCUAUCAGCUUGUUGGUGGGGUGAUGGCCACCAAGGCGACGACGGGUAGCCGGCCUGAGAGGGCGACCGGCCACACUGGGACUGAGACACGGCCCAGACUCCGUACGGGAGGCAGCAGGUGGGGAAUCUUGCGCAAGUGGGACGAAAGCCUGACGCAGCGACGCCGCGGUGGGGA